UCAACUUGUUGAAGGGUCGGUGGUCAAGCGUGACUCCCGCUCUCUUCAAAAUUUAGAGCAGACAUUUUUGUUUGACACGACUUUACGUCCAAAUGAAUAAAAAUAGUUGCGUGAAAGAGACUUUUGUGACCGAGGAGUUAAGUGACUAGGCUAUUUUCCUCAGCCACUCUGCCAUGUAGUCUUGAAGUUUGAGUCAGACCACAACCGGGAAGACUUGGGAAGGAGGAGCAGUUUGCGUAAAAAAAAAAACGUUUUUCUAAUGGGCUUGUUUCCUCCCUUUAGGUAAAAAAGAAAGAAAGAAUAAGACUGCAUGUCAUUGAACAGCUCAGUCACUUAGCGAGUAUCUGCCCCUCACUCCCACGUUAAUUCACUGUCAGCCUUCCCCCACGUUCGCACUCAACUGGUUACAGGUUCUCUACUCAGGCCCACUCUGGCCUUUGAGAGAGGGAGCACAGUACAGCACUGUGUGGGCAGGAUCCCUCUGGAGUCUCCAGCUUGUUGAGUGUGGAUUAGUCAGCCCAGACCAAGAGCUUUCUGCUGGAUGAAGAGAACAGUACAGGCCCCUCAGAUCUCAACCCAACUGAACACUUAUGGGAGAUUCUGGAUCGGUGC